GGAUCCAGACUUUGAUCAUGGCUCAGGAUGAACGCUAGCUACAGGCUUAACACAUGCAAGUCGAGGGGCAGCAUGAACUUAGCUUGCUAAGUUUGAUGGCGACCGGCGCACGGGUGAGUAACACGUAUCCAACCUUCCGUUUACUCAGGGAUAGCCUUUCGAAAGAAAGAUUAAUACCUGAUAGUAUGGUGAGAUUGCAUGAUAGCACCAUUAAAGAUUUAUUGGUAAACGAUGGGGAUGCGUUCCAUUAGGUAGUAGGCGGGGUAACGGCCCACCUAGCCGACGAUGGAUAGGGGUUCUGAGAGGAAGGUCCCCCACAUUGGAACUGAGACACGGUCCAAACUCCUACGGGAGGCAGCAGUGAGGAAUAUUGGUCAAUGGGCGAGAGCCUGAACCAGCCAAGUAGCGUGAAGGAUGAAGGUCCUACGGAUUGUAAACUUCUCUUAUACGGGAAUAAAGUAUCCUACGUGUAGGAUUUUGUAUGUACCGUAUGAAUAAGCAUCGGCUAACUCCGUGCCAGCAGCCGCGGUAAUACGGAGGAUGCGAGCGUUAUCCGGAUUUAUUGGGUUUAAAGGGAGCGCAGACGGGAGAUUAAGUCAGUUGUGAAAGUUUGCGGCUCAACCGUAAAAUUGCAGUUGAUACUGGUUUCCUUGAGUGCAGUUGAGGCAGGCGGAAUUCGUGGUGUAGCGGUGAAAUGCUUAGAUAUCACGAAGAACCCCGAUUGCGAAGGCAGCUUGCUAAACUGUAACUGACGUUCAUGCUCGAAAGUGUGGGUAUCAAACAGGAUUAGAUACCCUGGUAGUCCACACGGUAAACGAUGGAUACUCGCUGUUGGCGAUAUACUGUCAGCGGCCAAGCGAAAGCAUUAAGUAUCCCACCUGGGGAGUACGCCGGCAACGGUGCAACUCAAAGGAAUUGACGG
rnacentral:rRNA from 1 species